UGAACUUGAAAAAACCAUUGAAGGACUGUAUCUCAGCAUUAAGCAGCGGAAAUAUCAGCUGUAUCGUCAGGCUGAUGGCAACAAGAGAAGACAUCUGCUUAGAAAAAAGAUUUCAGUGGAAAAGAGAUCCUUAGAAGAUGCCAUCACAAAAUACAAUGCUGUUGUGCCAGAAACUGGCAAACUCCCUUCUCCCAACAAGCUCCUGGCUGAGGAAAACUAUUCCUGGCCUUGGGAAUAUGAAGCAAUUACAGGUUUGACCGAGGUUGCUGUGAUUGGAUCAGACAAGCUCCAGAGACAACUUCCUUUUUACUUUUGAAAACUGAAAGAGACACUCUUCUAUAUAAUUCUGUCCCAUGGGAGAAAUUGCCUGG